UACGUAGGGGGCUAGCGUUGUCCGGAUUUACUGGGCGUAAAGGGCGCGUAGGCGGCCACCGCAAGUCGACUGUGAAAUCUCCGGGACUUAACCCGGAAAGGUCAGCCGAUACUGCGGGGCUAGAGUGCAGAAGGGGCAACUGGAAUUCUCGGUGUAGCGGAUGAAAUGCGUAGAUAAUCAAGAGGAACACCUGAGGUGAAGACGGGUUGCUGGGCUGACACGUGACGCUGAGGCGCGAAAAGCUAGGGUAGCAAACGGG
rnacentral:rRNA from 1 species